UGGAAGCAAGAUCCACCAAAACCUACACUAGCGUUGAGGAACUUGGGUCCAAUUCUCGAGUCCGUACCAACAGAAUAGGCUACCUGUGAAACAUUUGCGCCAGUGGCUUCACAGAGAGCAGAAAUAGCAUUAACAGAUGAGAUUCUCUGAGCCAAGAAAGCAUUCGCAGCAAGCUUGGAGAGCUCAGCAGACCAAAGAUUGGUAGUGAGAAUCCGGUCUUCAGGUACCCAAUGAGCGUAAACGGCCUUCAGUGAACUGAUGGCCUUUUGACCCUCCGGGGUCUCCCUCCCUCCAAUGAGGACACGGUCCGGGUUAAACAGAUCCUUAAUUGCAGUCCCCUCAGCAAGGAAUUCAGGGUUUGAGAGAAUCUGGAAUUUUAUUCCUUUGCUGUUGUGAGUAAGGAUUUUUUCAAUUGCCUCAGCA
rnacentral:misc_RNA from 1 species